CAGACGGAGAAAUCAUCACAGAUAUACUGAAUCCAUAUUGAAAUGUCCCACCAAUGCCAGAGACAAAAAUGGCAGCAAUUACAACAGGACAGUCUAGCUGCAAAAAUUGAGCAUGUAAACAGUUAUAAUGACAAAUAGCUUCUUCUGAACCUUCAUCCUAAAAGAAAAAAAUGUGAAGUGGACACAAAAUAAUUUAAAAUAUUACCUACCAGGAGUGAUAAGUACUGUGGCAUAGCUGGAGUCUGGUCGUUGUCCUGUCUGGAGUCUUUUCAAAUCAUUCACAUGUUAAACUGAUGCGGCAGACACAUAACUCUGCACUGAAAUGAUUAACUUUCUAUUGAGGCCAAAGAGGAAAUGCAAUGGAAGGCAACAAAGUGACCACCAUAUUUGAGCCAGGCUAGCCACUUCCGCCUGCUUCCAGUCUUUGUGCUAAGCUAAGCUAAGGUAAGCAACUGCUGGCAGUUAGAGUGGUAAUGAGCUUCUCUUCUAAGUGUAUUUCUCAACAUGUCACACUAUUCCUUUAAGGGACAUGAAUUCCUCUGAUAACCCUGUACAUAUCAUCACUAGCUGGAAACCUUUGGUGGAUUUGACCUUAUGCCAAAAUGAUGCAGUCAGGCGCAUCCUCUCAUCUGUGACUUGAUAGCUGAAUACCCAAACCUGAUUCUUACGAGCUCUACACCGAACUAAAAACAGAAACCUUGUUCAGUAUCACUCUGUGUCAGGCAGACUAUCCUGUCAGAUGUCACAGAGCUGACCUCCAGGAAGGAGCCGGUGACGGUUGUCCGGCAUCGUCUGCAGGAGGCGGCGGCUUCGGAUGACAACACACUCCAAACAAACCACUGAGAGACUGAAACCUCUAAAAAGCUGUCAUGAAGACAGUUUCCUGGAGGAGAUGAAAGCCGAAGCAGCUGCCAGAGAGGCUCUAUUUACAGCUUGACACAAGCAGGGAUGACUGACACUGCAUAAAAACAGAGGCGCAGAGAGCCAUUUCUACAUAUCACCUGUAUAAAUUUAUACACAAAAGUAACCCAUACUCAUGAAAACGGCUGCUGCAUCAGUGAUUACUCAUUAUUACAAUGAGUUUGUGCAGCGUGAUUAAGAUCAUUCCAGGGACAGAAACAGAUUUGACAAUAAUAGAUUGAUUUGACAAUGUAAAAAGGUAAAUACAACACUACAAUCAACUAGUCCUGACAUACAAUUAAAAUAGUUGAGGAUAAAAAUACAAUAAUGCUAAAAGCUUACUGUCAUUGAAGUCCUUGAAAGAGGAAAGGGUAAGAUGACAGAUCAUCAAGUCAGGCAAGACAGGUUAAAAAAAAACAUGCUUAACUUCCUGGUCAUAUCCAUGAUUGUUUCUUUGUAUAGUCUGGAACCAAGUGGUGAAUCGACAGACAAAUCGACAUUGUCAUCCCUGGAGCCACCAUGAUGCUAGCAUGGUUAACCCCUCCCCCAAAAAACAACCUGCUAAUAUCUAUAACAGUUUCUUUGUGCAGGUCAAAGGAAGAAAAAAUCCUUCCUUUCAAUUCUCUAUCUAUAUCACUUUCAUAGUAGUCCUUUUUCUGUUGGGGUCUACAUUAUUGAGAAUCACAGGAAGAACCAUUGUGUUUUGUCUUUUACUUUGGGAACUCACAAAUGUGUUCCAAGUCAGUUAAACUCUAGACUGACUGUGUAAACUGUGCUAAAAAGUGGUAGGUUGGUUGAACUCCUGAAGGCGUCUGAUAAGGCACAUGAAAGACAUCCUGGUGAACGAGCUAAAAAAUGCCUCCCUGUUUCUUCAGAGCCAGAGAGAAACAACAGAGAAGGAAGAGAAGAAAUUAGGGCACUGAGAAAUAUAGAGAUGCGCUUCACUGUGUUUGAUGAGGGAAAAGUGAGACCAGAUACUGAUUAUAAAUGGGAACUGGGGGAUAUGCUGCACCUGACAAAGGCAGGCCAGGAGAAGGAUGACUGGUUUUAUAGCCACUGAGAACAGAGAGAAGAAAUGGAAAAGCCUGAAAUUGGAUCACAAAAGAGUCAAGCUAAAUCCUCAGUUGCGAAACUCUAACAAUAUAUAAAAACCUCCACCACCACAAGUUACACAAUUCUAUAUUUGAAAAAAAAAACAGUCCCUAGAUGAGGUAGAUAAUGUUUUUUAGCCACCUGCUAAUGCAGGGCAAAGUCACACCACUGGUUUUAAACUCCUUACUCUGCACAUUUUAUGCAAGUCUGGAUCUGUUCAGUAACAACAACAUACACAAAGACCAGCUGUUCAACUGCAGAUCAGCUGAACAUUGACAGCUUUAUUUAUUGGAUAGAAGUUAUUUUGAGCAGCUGGGAGUCUAUUUGUCAGAUCGCCCACUGUGAGCAAAACACAGAGAUGUGUGCUCUUCUUUUUAAAGCUAACCAGUGACAUGCUAACACCCUACACUAAGAUUAUGAACAUGGUAAACAUUUUACCUGCAGAAUAUCAGCAUGGUUGCUUUAUCAUUGUGAGCAUGCUGAUGUUAACAUUUAUCUCAAAGCACAAUAAUAAUAAUAAUAAUAAUAAAAUAAUAAUUUUAUUUAUCAAAAAAAAUUUAAGAGCACUGUGCCUAAGUACCAUGGAUGUAGUUAUAAUCUUGUUUUAAUCUAUCUGUUGCGAGCCCCCCAGCUCGAUGGAAGUACGACAUUAAUCACGGGAGUUUGCCUUUAUUGAAGUCAACCUGCUAAACUGUUUCAUAACUUUCUUCCUGGAGACAGACAAGACAAAUACUAAAUGUCACUUCAGCAUUUUCAUGGGAGCUUUUUUUCCAUUACAAUUAUCAAAAUGGCAUUUACUGUUAUCCAAGCACAUGGUGUCUUCAAACUUUUAUCCACUGCAGUGAUUAUAUUCAUAU